rnacentral:tmRNA from 1 species
UUGAUUUUUAUAAAAAAAAUGCUAUAUUGGUUGACGUCAAGCAAUUGACUGUGACACCAGAGGCCUUAUGAAAUAGGCACAUUGGACCCGAGGGCAGUACUCGGCACCUCCACCAAUUUCACGGGGGUGAAACAGGAUCGACAGUGUUCAGUAAAGAUUCGUGCUGUGUCCGGCAAGAUACCACCGUUAUCGGUUCAAAAUAAAUGAAUGCAAAUGAUAAUUUUGCACCAGUUGCAGUAGCUGCUUAGUUUUAGGCAUACGCAACAAAUUAUAAAUCCUUUGAGCAUUGGUUUGCCCAAAGUGGGGAAAGUGAGCCGCCCAGCAACAGAAAGGCUC